CUUUCAACAACGGAUCUCUUGGUUCUGGCAUCGAUGAAGAACGCAGCGAAAUGCGAUAAGUAAUGUGAAUUGCAGAAUUCAGUGAAUCAUCGAAUCUUUGAACGCACAUUGCGCCCCUUGGCAUUCCGAGGGGCAUACCUGUUCGAGCGUC
rnacentral:rRNA from 1 species